UACGAAGGUGGCAAGCGUUACUCGGAAUUACUAGGCGUAAAGGGCAGGUAGGUGGUUUGGAAAGUCUGUUGUGUAAGCUCCCGGCUUAACUGGGAGAGGUCAACAGAAACUUCCAGGCUUGAGUAUGGGAGAGGGUACUGGAAUUCCCGGUGUAGCGGUGAAAUGCGCAGAUAUCGGGAGGAACACCAAUGGCGAAAGCAGGUACCUGGACCAUUACUGACACUCAGCUGCGAAAGCUAGGGGAGCAAACAGG
rnacentral:rRNA from 1 species